AACCUUCACCAGGACUUCAGAUUCCCUGUCAUGUUGCUGUCUUGGAGGAUUUCCUAUUGUGCAGUAUGUACACUUCCAACCAUUCCUGAGAUUCUCCACAGGUGGGAGGUGACAGCCCUCAUGAAAGACUCUGGAACAAGUACCACAGUGAAGGAGCGUUCCUCCAUCCUGACAGAUCACACAUUUGGCUGAGUUUUUCACCUAGAAGAUAAAACAAUGACCACAUCCCCAUGAGCUUCUGACAACCAGCACUGUGGGAAUCUAGGACUAAUGGCCUUUGUGCAAACCUUCAGGGACUCCUCUGUGUUUCACUGAGCUAGCUGUGAAAGGAGAGCACAAAAUGGGGGUUUCAGAAGAAGGAUUCUUGUUCUGCUGUGAAGUUCAAGAGGAGCCUUUGUGACCAGACUGGAGAAGUUCUUUUCCUGUUAAACCAGAGAUCCUAACA